CAGUCCACCGUUGUCGUCGACCAAUCGGCGGCAGUCUCGAGGUUUUCUUAUAGGUGGAUACGCUGACCAUUAUUAUUAUUAUCACUGUAUCUCACGACCUGCAAAGCCCUUCUCGAUCGGCACACUACUUAUCGUCGCGUAUUCGGCAUUCGGUAUUCGAGCACACCGCUGCUUGCUAAAUCUCUCGUACAACCUGCUACAACGCUGCAGCCGAAGAACACAGGCCCUGCACUAGACACAACUACCGCCGGCCCGCAGACACAUCGUUCAAGAUGCCGUCGAAAAAGUGUGAAAUCAUCCGAGGAAUGGUUAUCAUCAAGCGUUAAGGACACUGACAAAUCGGACAAAUACAUGGACUCGACCGGACCAGGAUCAGGAAAAAUAUCACGGACUGUUGAACGCGACCUGUACGACGCGGACACCGCGACGAUGACUCGGCAACGGAAACCACAUCAUCAAAAUAUAAUUACUUUAAUAAUAAUUGCCGUUAUUAUUAUUGCGAACGAUUUGCUGCAAGUCGGCAGCGUCUUUCCCACUAUAACAUUAUUAUGUAGCCGCGCACAAUGAGCAAUAAAAAUUAAUACCACCGGUUCAAAUGGCUCUGUUAAAAUGUCCCGUUUACGAUGGCGUUAUCAGUGUUUAAACGGUUGUUAUUACGAGCCAUUUUGUACGAUACAUACAUAACAUAAUAUUAUAUUAUUACACAUACAUAUCACCACCGCGUAUAUAAUGGCUUGUGUGUGUGUUUUUAUUUCUAGACUUUAUUAUUUUCUUUACAGCGUACCGUUUAAGAUUAUUAUUACUAUUUUUUUUUUUUUUUUAUAUUUUUAUUAUUGGUUGUAUACACUUAUUAUUACUAUUAUUAUUAUUAUAUUUACUACGAGCAUAAAUCCCGCGUACAAUGAUUUCAAUACGACUAAUUUUUAUAUAUUUUUUAUUGUAUUUUAAACGGACAGGUUUAUCGGUUUA